rnacentral:rRNA from 1 species
UGGGGAAUUUUGGACAAUGGGCGAAAGCCUGAUCCAGCAAUGCCGCGUGUGUGAAGAAGGCCUUCGGGUUGUAAAGCACUUUUGUCCGGAAAGAAAUCCUUGGCUCUAAUACAGUCGGGGGAUGACGGUACCGGAAGAAUAAGCACCGGCUAACUACGUGCCAGCAGCCGCGGUAAUACGUAGGGUGCAAGCGUUAAUCGGAAUUACUGGGCGUAAAGCGUGCGCAGGCGGUUUGCUAAGACCGAUGUGAAAUCCCCGGGCUCAACCUGGGAACUGCAUUGGUGACUGGCAGGCUAGAGUAUGGCAGAGGGGGGUAGAAUUCCACGUGUAGCAGUGAAAUGCGUAGAGAUGUGGAGGAAUACCGAUGGCGAAGGCAGCCCCCUGGGCCAAUACUGACGCUCAUGCACGAAAGCGUGGGGAGCAAAACAGGAUUAGAUACCCUGGUAGUCCACGCCCUAAACGAUGUCAACUAGUUGUUGGGGAUUCAUUUCCUUAGUAACGUAGCUAACGCGUGAAGUUGACCGCCUGGGGAGUACGGUCGCAAAGAUUAAAACUUAAAGGAAUUGACGGGGUCAUAGCUGUUUCCU